AUGGCGUAUAUGGUACUUCAAGCUCAUGAAACGGGACAUUCGCAACGGCAUACGGAGAUCCAACGGGCCAACUAUACAACUCUGUCUUUGUGGCUAUUCUUGGUUCAGAAACCCAGUUUCUCUCGUUUGAAAUCCUUUUCAGAUCCGCGCCCUCGCCCCCCGCACCUGACCGUCGUGCGCCACUCCGGCGCCGGCGUCCACCGCGCUCUUGCGCCCCGGCUUGUGCCACUCCGGCCAUUCCGGCCACCUCUUCCCCCUCUCCGGUCCCGUCUUCCUCCCUGGCGCGUCGCUCGCCGCAGCCAUGACCUCCAGUCCCAGAUCUGGCUCGUCCAUGGCCAGCCGGAGGGUGAGAGGCCGAUCGUCUCUGGGCUGGGGCUCUCGGAGGGCUCGGCGGAGUCUGACCCCCAGCCAGCGGUGGAGUCGGCGCCGCGCCUGGUGGCCCCUGCUGCGGCCUGGGAGCGGCCGCCUCCGUCCAAGAAGGAGCUCUGGCGGCUUCGGCAUGGCCAGGGGACGCAGGCGGGCUCUUCCAGGGCCAGGCAGGGUGGACCGCCGCCGCCGCGUGUGGAGGUGAUCCCGGAGCUGCAGGACAAGUGCUUCAGGUGCCUGGAAAACGGCCACUUCCGGCAUGACUGCACCAACCAGGAGGUGUGUUUCCGGUGCAGGCUGCCUGGACAUGGAUCCCGCGACUGCAAGCGACCGAGGAGUCCUUCCUCUGCUGAUGCGCGAGGCUAUCGCCAAGGUGGCUCGCCGCACCUCUCCGCGGGUGAGCCCGGAUCCCCCGGUGGCCCGCGUGGCCGCCUCGCCUCCGCCGCAGCUCUCCUACUCGCUGCCGAGGGCGGCCGAGGCGGCUUGGCCACGGCUGGCACCCCCCAGGCUCCAGGUGGCCAUGGAGGCGGACGAAGGCGAGUCCGAGAUCUGUGUGGUUUUCGGCGUUCGUAG
rnacentral:rRNA from 1 species